UACGUAGGGUGCAAGCGUUGUCCGGAAUCAUUGGGCGUAAAGCGCGCGUAGGCGCCCGGUAAGUCCGCUGUGAAAGUCAAAGGCUCAACCUUUGAAUGUCAGCGGAUACUGCCGGGCUAGAGUCCGGAAGAGGCGAGUGGAAUCCUGGUGUAGCGGUGGUAAUGCGCAGAUAUCGGGAGAACACCUGAGGCGAAGGCGGGCUACUGGGCCGAUACUGACGCUGAUGUGCGAAAGCCAGGG
rnacentral:rRNA from 1 species